rnacentral:rRNA from 1 species
GCAGUCGAGCGGCAGCGCGGGGCAACCUGGCGGCGAGCGGCGNNNCGGGUGAGUAAUGCAUCGGAACGUACCCAUUUGUGGGGGAUAACUAUCCGAAAGGAUAGCUAAUACCGCAUAAGUCCUGAGGGAGAAAGCAGGGGAUCGCAAGACCUUGCGCGAAUGGAGCGGCCGAUGCCGGAUUAGCUAGUUGGUAGGGUAAAGGCCUACCAAGGCGACGAUCCGUAGCUGGUCUGAGAGGAUGAUCAGCCACACUGGAACUGAGACACGGUCCAGACUCCUACGGGAGGCAGCAGUGGGGAAUUUUGGACAAUGGGGGCAACCCUGAUCCAGCCAUUCCGCGUGAGUGAAGAAGGCCUUCGGGUUGUAAAGCUCUUUCGGCAGGAACGAAACGGUGGGGGCUAAUACCCUCCGCUAAUGACGGUACCUGAAGAAGAAGCACCGGCUAACUACGUGCCAGCAGCCGCGGUAAUACGUAGGGUGCGAGCGUUAAUCGGAAUUACUGGGCGUAAAGCGUGCGCAGGCGGUUCUAUAAGACAGAUGUGAAAUCCCCGGGCUUAACCUGGGAACUGCGUUUGUGACUGUAGGACUUGAGUGUGGCAGAGGGGGGUGGAAUUCCACGUGUAGCAGUGAAAUGCGUAGAGGUGUGGAGGAACACCGAUGGCGAAGGCAGCCCCCUGGGUCAACACUGACGCUCAUGCACGAAAGCGUGGGUAGCAAACAGGAUUAGAUACCCUGGUAGUCNACGC